CCUACGGGCGGUAGCAGUGGGGAAUAUUGGACAAUGGGCGAAAGCCUGAUCCAGCCAUGCCGCGUGUGUGAAGAAGGCCUUCGGGUUGUAAAGCACUUUCAGUGGGGAAGAAAGCCUUGGGGCUAAUACCCUCGAGGAAGGACAUCACCCACAGAAGAAGCACCGGCUAACUCCGUGCCAGCAGCCGCGGUAAUACGGAGGGUGCGAGCGUUAAUCGGAAUUACUGGGCGUAAAGCGCGCGUAGGCGGUCUGAUAAGCCGGUUGUGAAAGCCCCGGGCUCAACCUGGGAACGGCAUCCGGAACUGUCAGGCUAGAGUGCAGGAGAGGAAGGUAGAAUUCCCGGUGUAGCGGUGAAAUGCGUAGAGAUCGGGAGGAAUACCAGUGGCGAAGGCGGCCUUCUGGACUGACACUGACGCUGAGGUGCGAAAGCGUGGGUAGCAAACAGGAUUAGAUACCCUGGUAGUC
rnacentral:rRNA from 1 species